UUUUCUUGUUGUACCGAACCCGUACCGAACCGUGACCCCCAAACCGAGCUGCCGGAGCGCGAGUCGAUCAGACCCGGGGAGAGGGAGCAGAAGGGCGGACUGGGGCUGGGGGGCAACCCCGAAUCCGGACUGUCGAGCAGCCCUUCCCGGUUCUUUCCUUUCAGGCUAUCAUCCAUCGCUUGUAAAUGUAGGUGCCCCACCAUUUCUGGGACGACUCAAGUCAAAAAAACACCCCGGACCAAGUUGCACUGACAAGUUGAGCGCUCCUGCCUCGGAAAGACAAUCCUGGGUGAACUUCUUUUAGGAGGACUCCUGCAACCGAAGAAAAAGGGGGAAAAUAUGGAUUUAAUCAAAGCCCAUACACUAGGGAAAAAAACUCCCCACAGUGAUAUGGAUCCAGCCCUUAUUUAUCCAAAACAUUACUGUACCUGCGCGUCGUGAAGUAGUCUGUCCACUUUUAAUUCCGAAAUAUAUUCCAAUUUGCGGGAAAAACCAACCACAAUCUUAAAUACUAACUUCAACCUUCACACCAAAGUGUAGUUUACACUAUUUAUAUAUAUCACAACUGAACAAAAACGUAAUAAAUCUCGCGCAAAAACAAAAAGUCGACCGUGCGUCUGGCACCGAUCAGGAUGAGAGCUCCUCUCCUCUGCUCUGCUGAGUGUGUGUGUGAGUGUGUGUGUGCGCAUGUGUGUGUGCGCUCUGCAGCGGAGAGCUCCUUCUUAAUGAUCCUGCCAGGCUUUUUUUGCACCUGGGUUCAGUCCAGCCCUCAUGAUCUGGAUCACUUCCAUGAACAACCGACAGGGGCGAGCACGUCCUCCCUGCUCCUGCUGCACGGUGACCUAUGACGGGGACUGACUGAGUGUAGUUAUAAUUGAAGUGCCUUUGAGCAAGUUAUACCAUCCCUUCUGGAUCUAGGGUUUGGUUUAUCUUGAUAACUAUAAUUAACAGUUAGUUAUUCAUAAGUAGUAAUUGGCACAACUGUAGUGAUUUUCUAGUUGGCUACAUAAUAACAGGUUUAUAUAAAGGUUUCUUAUAAACCAGUUGGUAUACGCAUUUCAUCUUGCAUUUCUCACAAUAAGCAGUAUUAAUUAUACAUCACUAAAUUACAUUGAUUAGCAUUUAUAAUGUGAAACUUUCCACAUUUAGAUAUUUAUAUUUGAUAAUAUGUCACUUCAUCAGAGAACUCUAGUUACCUUUGUUAAUCGGUAGAAGUUAGUAAUCACUGUUGAAUACUUCCAAUAGCUACCAAUAACUAUUACUAUUAUAAUAUUAUUACAUAAUUAGCAUUACGUUUCUGAUUAGUGGCACCUCUAUUCCUCUUUUUGUGUAUUUAUGGGACAAUAUUGGUAAAUUGUCAAUAUAAUCAAAUUUUCUGCCAGUAAAUAUAGCCUUUUAUCUCACUUUACCUACGAGUCAUACUUUCUGUUUACAGCCUUUUAAACUAAAGAAAUGGGAAGGUGUUGUCCAACAUUUUUGUAUACUGGGUUAAUUUGUAUUAGACUAUACACAUUGUGAAAUGUUAAAAAAAGGUAAAGUCUUUUUUGACAAAAUGAAUGACACUCAUCAUGCCAAAUAGCAACUUGUCUUCCUGAGGUGUAGAUCUGAGUUGAACAAUCUGAAACAGCUCAAUGCAUAUCAAGUCUGAGAGAUGAACUCCACAGCUAAACAAGAAAGUAUAUCAUCUGCGUAACUGCACAUUUGCAGAUUUUUUAAGCUUACCUAUUACUUUUUUUUGAAAGCCUGGAGCUCAUCUCAUUGCCAACAUAGCAGAACAAAUUAGCUGGGUAUCUGCAAUGAGUAAAACCCUUUACAAUUUGAAUGUUGUUCAGCUAAAGUUAUCCGAAAUGAUCACAAAGUUAUUUAAGCGUUGUUAUCCUGAGAAACUCCCCUGAUGUCAAUCCUUGUAUAGUUUUAGUUAUUUCCAGAAAUGAUCAGUCGGCUGCCUUUGUGGAGCAGUUUGUUUUGUUCCAGAAAAUAUCUUGUCAAAGGAUUAUUAAAGGAUCACUGAAGUUAUUUUUCAUAA